ensembl:lncRNA
GGGCAGAGCAGGAAGCUUUCCUGCAAAGUGGUUGCAUUCAGCUGACUGGUUCUCAGAAAAUCCUUCUGAGAAUUCUAGAAUUAGGCUGGCUCUUCAGAACUGUCUCAAUCUGAGGCUAUUCGACUCAUAUUGGGAUUUACAUCAUCACCCCAAUCCUCAGAUCUUUGGACUCAGAGGGAGGCUCGGGUUUGAUCCCUGGUCAGGGAACUAGAUCUCUCAUGCUGCAACUGAAGAUCUUGCAUGCUGCAAGGAAGAUCCCACACACAGCAAGAAAGAUCCUGCAUGCUGCAACUAAGACUCAGUGCAGCCAAAUUAAAAAAAAAAAAAGAUCCAGCUUCUGCCUGGCGCUCUCAGGACACUUGCCUUGGAACCCAGCUUCUAUGCUGUGUGGGAAGUCAAACCAGAUGUGGAGGCUCAAGUAAAGAGGACUGGAAAGCCUCAGCUGAAAGCCAGCAUCAACUUCCAGAUGCAUGAAUGAGCAAGCUUUUAUAUGGCUCCACUCCCAAGGCCUGGACUUCCAGCUGAAGUCCCAGACACAGUCACCAUGCUUCCCACUAUGCCCUGUUUGAAUUCAUGACCAAUCCCCACACCCCCAAACUACAGGAGAUAAUAAUAGGUGAUUAUUUAAGCCACUAAAUUUUGGAGCAAUUUUUAAAAUAGUAAUAGAUAACUAAUAUGGUCAUCUUGGUUGAGAUGAUAUUUUGCUGAAAGAGAAAACAUAGAAGUAUCUAAGCAUGGAAGUUAAAAAUCUAUUUUCUCAGAAAACGAAAGUGAAAUGGAGCAGGACUCUGUGGUAUUUGCCCCUCCCCACCCCCAAAGUCCUCUGCCCGCCUUAGUCUAUGGGAAAAACUUAGCCAAAGAAUAAGUUUAAUCAGAGAAGUGAGAACAUGCAGCAACAAAGGAAAACAGUCAAAGGAGACGAAAUGAUAAUAAUAUAGUCAUUAAGAAUAGUCAAGGACUUUUAGUUCCUUCUCAAGGGCUAUAGAUAAUUUUCUGAGUCACAUUCUAUGAGCUGCCUUGUAGAUACUAAAACCCCCACCAGGUGGAGAAGUUAAUUACAUGAUGACCAGACGGUAACCAUGAUGUAAGUUGCCACAAUUCUGAGAACUGGCCUCAAGAAAUGGAAACAAACUGACUCUGGAACUGAAGACUAACUGUACUUAUAACAAGAUGACGCUUUUCAGACCACCAAUGACCAACUUCAAGAUGACUGUCUGAUUUGAUUGCAGUUUCUGCAGGUAGCCCUACUCUGCCUACAAAGGCUCUAAAACCUCUUGCCCACUGAUUGUCAGGAGGGGAGUCAGCCUCUGGACAGGCACCCCAGGCAUCCCUACUUCUUACCCCUACUC